AAAAUAGAGGACAGAUAACAAAUAAACACCAUUUACUGAGAUUUGGAUGCGUUAGCUGAGAUGAUCAAAUGCAAUGUUCGGAAGACCAAUAUCAGAUACUAUUUUCAGUCCUUUGCACAAUUUUAAACUCUUGUAUGUUAUACUUUGCUGGUUUGUUUUUACAAUAACUGGCUGAACUAAAAGCUUAUUUUCUUACUGUCUUCUUUACUACACACAUUUUAUCACAAAGUUGCAUUUGCUUUGAAAUUUCUUAAAAUGUAUCUCUGUGAGCAGUUGUUGCUGGUUAACAAAUUUGAAAUGCAUUCACCAACACAACCACAUUACUAACACAAUUGAUGAUAUUCAGUCAAAAUAUUCACAUUUUUGGGUGCAUCUAGCUAAACAAUCAAGCUCUCACUCAAUACAUCAGAGCUCAAAGUAAAAGAUAAGAACAAAUGCUUCUGCUGUUUUUCCCUUUCACUGCAGGAGUCUGCAAUGUGAUUUGAAGUACAGUGAUUUUUGUUGCUCCUUCUUUAUUAGUCCCCUUGGAAAAAAAUGCUUCCACCUCUACAGGGAAAGGCUCCCUGCCAACAAUAAAAAUCAAAGUCUUCCAUUCAGAGCAGUUAGGCUACUGAGCUUGCAUUGUUAAAUGGCAGCUAAACUUUUUCCUAUGUUCUUCAAGUACUAAAAAUAACUGAUGAGCUGAACUGUCUCUAUAAAUGUCCAUUAUGCAUCUCUUCAAAAUCAAAUACUAUUCUUGCCUAUCCAGAGUUUGAUCAGGAAUAAAGCUUUUGGCCUCCUGGUAUGGUCCCCUACAUUUAAAAGGGGAUUCUGCAUUUUUUUUUUUAAAUGGGAAAUGUCUUAACUUGGCUCUAGAAUGAGAGGCAAACCCUUUUCUACCUGCUUAGCAAAGUGAUAGGAUGGAAUAAAACUGUACUUAUAUGAGGUAGAAGUGGGAAAAAUGCAAGUCUACUCUCCUUCCCAGCUUUCAGAAAAAA